rnacentral:misc_RNA from 1 species
AAUUGUGUAAGAGGCUAUCAAUCGCUACUGUGGUCAGGACAAGUCCCUAACCUACCCAUAAAUCUUAAUAUCCAUACAAAAUCAAUAUACUGGACUCGGCUAUCCUUGGAAGAAAUGGAGGUCACCAAUCUACAAAUGAUAGUCUGAAUCUGCUAACGGGGUCUGUCAACCUAUGAAUCUGGAGCUGUGGCAUGAAUCACGGUCCCCGGUAAUACGAUGUCG